rnacentral:rRNA from 6 species
UUGACCUCGAUCAGGUAGA